rnacentral:rRNA from 1 species
UACGUAGGGUGCAAGCGUUGUCCGGAAUUAUUGGGCGUAAAGAGCUCGUAGGCGGUCUGUUGCGUCGGCUGUGAAAACCCGGGGCUCAACCCCGGGCCUGCAGUCGAUACGGGCAGACUAGAGUGCGGUAGGGGAGACUGGAAUUCCUGGUGUAGCGGUGAAAUGCGCAGAUAUCAGGAGGAACACCGGUGGCGAAGGCGGGUCUCUGGGCCGUACCUGACGCUGAGGAGCGAAAGCGUGGGGAGCGAACAGG